UAUAUUAAUAGUCCAUAUAAUAGGAAAUUCAGGAGGACAGAUGAAUGAUUUAGUUAUUAAAAGCAGUUAAUUAUAUAAUUAUGGUUAAAAUCUGGAGAAUCAGGGAAAAUAUAUAGGAGUUGUAGAAGUUAAUUAAGGUACCAUCGCUGUGAUAGUGUGAGCCAGGGUAAGCUUGGUACUACCUCUUUUCUUUUGUUUGUUAUUUUUUUUAAAUAAGACGAUUGAGAGUUUCUAAAUAUUGUGAAGUGAAUUAUGGAAUGGAAAUGUGAUUGGUAUUAUUUGAGAAGAAGAAAGAUUGAAUGCUGAAAUCUGAUUGUAGUUCAACAAAGAGAAUGAGUCUGUGUUUGUGUGAAAUACUGUAAUGUGAAUGGCAGUUCUGUGUGAAGAAUUCCAAUGAUUGGAACGAGGGUCAUUGUGUGAUGAAAGUUGUGAGGGCAUAGUAUUACAGUUGGAGAUUAUGAGGGUGAAUAUAUUGGUGGAAAUAGUAGUUAUUUGUAUGAGUGAAUUGUUGUAAGGAAGAGAUCGAUAAAAUGAAGGAAGAGAUUAUAGUUUCGUUGUGUGUUCAGAUAU
rnacentral:lncRNA from 1 species